GCUUCUUUAAAAUAAAUUCGAAGAAAAUCUGAUAAAUGUACUUUCAGACAAAUCCUUCGAAUUCUUUAGGAAAAUGGCAACCGUUCAAAACACUGUUUUUGAAGAGGUGGCGGACAAAAAAGCAGUUUUGGAAAAACUUUUUUACAAAAUAAAUGUACUUGAGAGGAACCUGGAAUAUAGGGAUUUAGCUGAGGUUGAGAGAGAAAGGAUUGAAAAAGAUUUACAAGUUUUGAAGAAAGAGCUGAAAUUGACAGAAGAGACUUUAAAAAGUUUACAUUCAGAAAACAUGGAUGGAUAUGCUGUAGUUUGGAUGGUAUUUCUGUUCCUUGUGUGCGUUUAUGCGCUGAUAAGACUCUCAAGAAUGGCGCACGAGGGAUAAUGAUCAAUUAAUCAAUUUCAUCUUUAAAUGGACUGUCAGUGUUAUUUCAGAGUUGCCAAUGCUAUCUACCCUUUAAACCUUAAUCUGAGCUUGAACCUUUUCCAUUGGAGGGUCAUUCAAAACUAUGCCGAGUCACUCCAAUCAAUGAAUCAAUAUGAAUGAAACAUGUUUCCUAUGCGGGUAUAAUGCAUCAAUGAAUCAAUGAAACAAUGAAUCAAUGAA
rnacentral:misc_RNA from 1 species